rnacentral:rRNA from 1 species
UACGUAGGGUGCGAGCGUUAAUCGGAAUUACUGGGCGUAAAGCGUGCGCAGGCGGUUCGUUGUGUCUGCUGUGAAAGCCCCGGGCUCAACCUGGGAAUGGCAGUGGAAACUGGCGAGCUGGAGUGUGGCAGAGGGGGGUGGAAUUCCGCGUGUAGCAGUGAAAUGCGUAGAGAUGCGGAGGAACACCGAUGGCGAAGGCAGCCCCCUGGGCCUGCACUGACGCUCAUGCACGAAAGCGUGGGGAGCAAACAGG